ACAGAGGUCCCAAGCGUUGUUCGGAUUCACUGGGCGUAAAGGGUGCGUAGGCGGUCGGCAAAGUCUAAUGUGAAAUCUCCGGGCUCAACCCGGAAACUGCAUCGGAUACUGGUCGGCUAGAGGAUUGGAGGGGGGACUGGAAUUCUCGGUGUAGCAGUGAAAUGCGUAGAUAUCGAGAGGAACACCAGUGGCGAAGGCGAGUCCCUGGACAACUCCUGACGCUGAGGCACGAAAGCUAGGGGAGCAAACAGG
rnacentral:rRNA from 1 species